rnacentral:lncRNA from 1 species
UGGGAAUCAGAGCUGGGACCUUCAAGGCACAGGAGAUCGGUGUGGUAGAAAGAUCCCUACAGGCCUCUCCUCAGAAUCACAUUGACUGACUGCUGCCGUCUCAGAAAGGGCUGUCCCAUCUGCUCCACUUUCUCCUAGACCGCGCUCUGUUAGUCAGGGCCUCUGCCUGGCUUUGUAGCCUGGGUCCAGCCAACGGCUGAUUACCAUGGGUGUAUCUGAAAAGGUUUCUGAAGCUCUUCAGACUUGCAAUGCACCACCAUCCCUCUCAGCCCGGCCUUACCCGCUGUGUUCACGCUGCAUUGGAAUCAGAAGUGGAUCUGAAUUGUGCCUCUCACCUCAUCGGAUGUUUUGAUCUUGAGCAAGUCGUUCCUUUUCCAAGCUUCAGUGUCUUACAUUAAAAAAUAAUUAAAAUUU